rnacentral:rRNA from 1 species
UACGGAGGGUGCAAGCGUUGUCCGGAAUCACUGGGCGUAAAGGGCGCGUAGGCGGCUCGGUAAGUCGGGGGUGAAAUCCUGCGGCUUAACCGCAGGGCUGCCUUCUAAACUGUCGAGCUCGAGCACGGUAGAGGCAGAUGGAAUUCCCGGUGUAGCGGUGGAAUGCGUAGAGAUCGGGAAGAACAUCAAUUGCGAAGGCAGCUCGCUGGGACGGUACUGACGCUGAGGCGCGAAAGCGUGGGGAGCGAACAGG